UGUGAUAUUAAAAAAAAAAAAAAAAUACAGGACGUAGUACUUGGGGCUGGGCCCUUAAACCCCAACGGCCCAAUGCUCUCUUUUGUUGUAAAAUUGAGAAAACUCCUUUUUAAGAAAUUCCCUUCGUAAAACCUCUCCCCCUCUGUUUAUUCAUGAAAAUGGAGAAAGCUUUCAGUCUGGUUCAGACAGUUGCAGUGGCAACAGUCUUCUCUGCCGUCUUCGGAAUUCCAUUCUUUUCAGGUACGGCUUUGGAAGAGAAUCUACUCGCAAAGAGCUCGGAAGCUUAAUCGAAGACCUUCGCCGCCAGAAUCCCAAUUCCGAUCCUGAUUCCUGACUUCAUUGGGUUCAUGGCAUCAGGUGGGCAGUGUGGAAAUCCCUUUUGUUAAUGCUUGAGAAAACACUGUCUUAAGGCCUUACUGGAAAACUCCUUUGGCCAUCUUCGGCUGUUUUCAGGUAAUCUUACCUAUCCUUGACAGCAGAAUGUGCGUUCCUGAGGAGUUUGGAUAUUAACUUUAAAACCUUUGUAUGCUGACUUGCAUUGAAGAUUACAGCUUUCUGCUGUGACGUCGUCAUAGUUGUUAUUCAUAGUUGCUGUGAAUGAAUUAGAUAAUGUAGUUGGUGUUGAUCAUACUCUUUGGUGUUUCAAAUUAAUAAAGCGCAUUCUGUGAAGUAAUGUUUCAA